AAAAAAGGUAAGCUACUAAGAGCGAAUGGUGGAUGCCUUGACUGGUAAAGGCGAUGAAGGACGUACUAGACUGCGAUAAGCUACGGGGAGCUGUCAAGAAGCUUUGAUCCGUAGAUUUCCGAAUGGGGCAACCCAAUGUAUAGAGAUAUACAUUACCUAUAUAGGAGCGAACGAGGGGAAUUGAAACAUCUUAGUACCCUCAGGAAAAGAAAUCAAUAGAGAUUGCGUCAGUAGCGGCGAGCGAAAGCGCAAGAGGGCAAACCCAGUGCUUGCACUGGGGGUUGUAGGACUGCAAUGUGCAAGAGGUAAGUUUAGCAGAACAUUCUGGAAAGUAUAACCAUAGAGGGUGAUAGUCCCGUAUGCGAAAAACAAACCUUAGCUAGCAGUAUCCUGAGUAGGGCGGGACACGAGGAAUCCUGUCUGAAUCCGGGUCGACCACGAUCCAACCCUAAAUACUAAUACCAGAUCGAUAGUGCACAAGUACCGUGAGGGAAAGGUGAAAAGAACUGAGGUGAUCAGAGUGAAAUAGAACCUGAAACCAUUUGCUUACAAUCAUUCAGAGCCCUAUGUAGCAAUACAGGGUGAUGGACUGCCUUUUGCAUAAUGAGCCUGCGAGUUGUGGUGUCUGGCAAGGUUAAGCAAACGCGAAGCCGUAGCGAAAGCGAGUCUGAAUAGGGCGCUUAGUCAGAUGCUGCAGACCCGAAACGAAGUGAUCUAUCCAUGAGCAAGUUGAAGCUAGUGUAAGAACUAGUGGAGGACUGAACCCAUAGGCGUUGAAAAGCCCCGGGAUGACUUGUGGAUAGGGGUGAAAGGCCAAUCAAACUUCGUGAUAGCUGGUUCUCUCCGAAAUAUAUUUAGGUAUAGCGUUGUGUCGUAAUAUAAGGGGGUAGAGCACUGAAUGGGCUAGGGCAUACACCAAUGUACCAAACCCUAUCAAACUCCGAAUACCUUAUAUGUAAUCACAGCAGUCAGGCGGCGAGUGAUAAAAUCCGUCGUCAAGAGGGAAACAACCCAGACUACCAGCUAAGGUCCCUAAAUCUUACUUAAGUGGAAAACGAUGUGAAGUUACUUAAACAACCAGGAGGUUGGCUUAGAAGCAGCCAUCCUUUAAAGAAAGCGUAAUAGCUCACUGGUCUAGUGAUUUUGCGCGGAAAAUAUAACGGGGCUAAAGUAAGUACCGAAGCUGUAGACUUGCACACAACUUAGAUUAUUUAAGUUUAGAAUAUGAGAAACUAAGUUAUAUGUUUAGUUAUAUUUUUACUGAUUUUUAUAGAGUAAAGAUAGAAAUAAAACUUAGUAAAAUCAGUAAAAAUAUUCUUAGACUAAAGUUAAGUAGUUUAAGUUGUGUGCAAGUGGUAGGAGAGCGUUCUAUUUGCGUCGAAGGUAUACCGGUAAGGAGUGCUGGAGCGAAUAGAAGUGAGCA
rnacentral:rRNA from 1 species